GACGAACGCUGGCGGCGUGCUUAACACAUGCAAGUCGAACGGAAAGGCCCUGCUUUUGUGGGGGGCUCGAGUGGCGAACGGGUGAGUAACACGUGAGUAACCUGCCCUUGAAUUUGGGAUAAAUUCAGGAAACUGGGGCUAAUAACGGAUAGGAGCUCCUGCUGCAUGGUGGGGGUUGGAAAGUUUCGGCGGUUGGGGAUGGACUCGCGGCUUAUCAGCUUGUUGGGGGGGUAGUGGCUUACCAAGGCUUUGACGGGUAGCCGGCCUGAGAGGGUGACCGGCCACAUUGGGACUGAGAUACGGCCCAGACUCCUACGGGAGGCAGCAGUGGGGAAUAUUGCACAAUGGGCGGAAGCCUGAUGCAGCAACGCCGCGUGCGGGAUGACGGCCUUCGGGUUGUAAACCGCUUUCGCCUGUGACGAAGCGUGAGUGACGGUAAUGGGUAAAGAAGCACCGGCUAACUACGUG
rnacentral:rRNA from 1 species